CCCAUGGGUAAAGGGGUGCUGCCUGACGAUCACCCCAACUGUGUUGCUGCUGCCCGCUCCAGAGCUCUGCUCCAGUCUGAUGUUGUGGUCCUACUUGGUGCCAGACUCAACUGGAUCCUGCACUUUGGCCUUCCCCCCAGGUCAAUGUCAAGGUUGAUCUGUGUGCUGAGGAGAUGGGGAACAACGUGCAACCUGCUGCUGCUCUCCUGGGGGACAUCAAUACUAUUGUCAAGCAGGUAACACAACACAG